GCAUGGAAGAGGGAUGGUGCUGGCUGAUCCGGAAGAGAAUUCAGCCUUGUAUGGUUAUGCUCGCUGAAGAGCUGGGAGCUGACAAGGUCCACGUGCAUAAGCCUUGUUGCAGCUGUAUAGCAAGGAAUUAAGGAGAAAGUCCUACGUCCCCUUGAGUCUUAUCUGUGAAAAAGCAAAAGUGGCCGCAGCGACAGAGGUGACAGCAGUGGUAAUUGGUGACAAGACUCUAAACCGCAGGGAGUCGGCAUGCCGUCCCAGAAAGAGCAUGGUCUUCGAAGCUGGCAAGCUUGAGUUCACGUCCGUGUGGGGAGAGGAGGCUGUCGGCUGCUUGGGGCUAUCCAUCUGACAUACCC